rnacentral:rRNA from 1 species
GAUGAACGCUGGCGGCGUGCCUAAUACAUGCAAGUCGAGCGAACAGACGAGGAGCUUGCUCCUCUGACGUUAGCGGCGGACGGGUGAGUAACACGUGGAUAACCUACCUAUAAGACUGGGAUAACUUCGGGAAACCGGAGCUAAUACCGGAUAAUAUAUUGAACCGCAUGGUUCAAUAGUGAAAGACGGUUUUGCUGUCACUUAUAGAUGGAUCCGCGCCGCAUUAGCUAGUUGGUAAGGUAACGGCUUACCAAGGCAACGAUGCUUAGCCGACCUGAGAGGGUGAUCGGCCACACUGGAACUGAGACACGGUCCAGACUCCUACGGGAGGCAGCAGUAGGGAAUCUUCCGCAAUGGGCGAAAGCCUGACGGAGCAACGCCGCGUGAGUGAUGAAGGUCUUCGGAUCGUAAAACUCUGUUAUUAGGGAAGAACAAAUGUGUAAGUAACUAUGCACGUCUUGACGGUACCUAAUCAGAAAGCCACGGCUAAGUACGUG